rnacentral:rRNA from 1 species
AGCUUAUGAAAUUAAUCAUAUUAAGUAAAGUCUGCCAGUGGCACUUUUCCUCAACGGCCGCGGUAUCCUACCGUGCAAAGGUAGCAUAAUCACUUGCCUCUUAAUUAGAGGCUAGAAUGAAUGACCUAACGAGAGAUUUCCUUUUCCUAAAUCAUAAAUAAAAAUUAUUCUAUAGGUGAAAAAACCUAUAUAUUAUAAAAAGACAAAAAGACCCUAUCAAGCUUUAUAACCACAACCAUAAAGUUUUCAUUUAUUUAAUUGGGGCAAUUUAUGAAACUCAUUYUCUUUCAUAUUAACUAAGAAUAAUCACUUCUCAUUACUUUAUUUUUAAUAAGAAAAAGCUACUGUAGGGAUAACAGGCUUAUAUUUCCUAAGAGUUCAAAUUAAAGGAAAUGAUUGGCACCUCGAUGUUGGCUUAGGGUUCUAUAAUUUUGCAGAAAAAAUUUGUAGUAGUUUGUUCAACUAUUAAUCCCCU